AAAACUUUCAACAACGGAUCUCUUGGUUCUGGCAUCGAUGAAGAACGCAGCGAAAUGCGAUAAGUAAUGUGAAUUGCAGAAUUCCAGUGAAUCAUCGAAUCUUUGAACGCACAUUGCGCCUAUUAGUAUUCUAAUGGGCAUGCCUGUUCGAGCGUCAUUUCAACCCUCAGGCCCUAGCUAGCCUGGCGUUGGGGCAUCUGCAGCGUUUGUCUGCAGGCCCUCAAAAUCAGUGGCGGUGUCCGCUAACACUCCGGGCGCAGUAAUUUAUUCUCGUCUAGGAUGUGUGGUGGGCUGCUUGCCGUAAAACCCCUUUUCUCCAAAGGUUGACCUCGGAUCAGGUAGGAAUACCCGCUGAACUUAAGCAUAUCAAUAAGCGGAGGAAAAGAAACCAACAGGGAUUGCCCUAGUAACGGCGAGUGAAGCGGCAACAGCUCAAAUUUGAAAUCUGGUUUCGGCCCGAGUUGUAAUUUGUAGAGGAUGCUUUUGGUUCGGUUCUUUCUGAGUUCCCUGGAACGGGACGCCAUAGAGGGUGAGAGCCCCGUACAGUUAGAUGCCACGCCGUUAUAAAGCUCCUUCGACGAGUCGAGUAGUUUGGGAAUGCUGCUCAAAAUGGGAGGUAAAUUUCUUCUAAAGCUAAAUACCGGCCAGAGACCGAUAGCGCACAAGUAGAGUGAUCGAAAGAUGAAAAGUACUUUGAAAAGAGGGUUAAACAGCACGUGAAAUUGUUGAAAGGGAAGCGCUUAUGACCAGACUUGCGCCUUAUGAAUCAUCUAGCGUUCUCGCUGGUGCACUUCAUUUGGUUCAGGCCAGCAUCGGUUUCUUUAGGGCGAUAAAAGUGGUGGGAACGUGGCUCCUCCGGGAGUGUUAUAGCCCGCUACAGAAUAUCCUUAGAGGGACCGAGGACCGCGCUUCGGCAAGGAUGCUGGCGUAAUGGUCAUCAGCGACCCGUCUUGAAACACGGACCAAGGAGUCAAGCAUUAGGGCGAGUGUUUGGGUGUAAAACCCGCACGCGUAAUGAAAGUGAACGUAGGUGAGAGCUUCGGCGCAUCAUCGACCGAUCCUGAUGUAUUCGGAUGGAUUUGAGUAAGAGCCUUACCGCUUGGACCCGAAAGUUGAUGAACUAUGCCUGUAUAGGGUGAAGCCAGAGGAAACUCUGGUGGAGGCUCGCAGCGGUUCUGAGCGUGCAAAUCGAUCGUCAAAUAUGGGCAUGGG
rnacentral:rRNA from 1 species